CAUCAUACUUACUGGCAGGCUUGGAUGAGCCCGUCCCUAAAGUAAGCCCAGGAAGGAAGACACUAUAUCUUUUCCCUACUGAUAUAUCCGCAGCCCCCAGCCCAGGGACUGGGACACAGUAGGUGCUCAAUAAGUAUUGAACAAAUGAAAGAAUAAUACCUGGCAGCACUGCUGUGAGGGGAGACUGCCAUUUCCAUCACCAUUACUGUGACCGGCCAGGUCCUGCCAACUGGUGGGCUCAGGAUGCAGAGGGGUAAUCCCAGCAGCAGUGGCAGCUGCUACCCCCUCCUCUGUGCCAGGCCAUCAGGUCCACCCAACUCUGGGGGCUCUCUUCUGUUAUCCCCAUUUUACAGAGGAGGAACCAGAAGCUCCAAGCGGUAGAAUGACUUGCCCAAGGUUAGACAGCCAGCCUGACAUGCACUAGAGAUUGCUUUCCUGUCCCCAGGCACCUCCUCCAAGCAGCCACCUGGGACCUACAGGCUGAAAACGGGAUAACUGUGAGUUGCUGGUGCACUGACUUGGUUGGUAACUCAUGGGAAUGAAAGGCUGGUGUGAGCACGACUGUGCCCAGUGGUGUUGCUCCUCCGGGGACAGGGAAGUGGGGCUAGGGUGGGGAGGAUGUUGGUGUGGGGAAGCAAUCUAUCUCCUGGGGAUGCUGGGGAUGCUGCUCUCCCAAAACAUGUUGGAGAAUUUAGUUAUCAAGAAAUACCUAUUAUUUAUUGACCAUAUACUUUAUUAUCCAAAUCAGGACACUUACAAGAUUGAAAAGGAAGCUGUUAAUAAUUAUUCCAAAGCUGGCCUGGGAAAAUCAUGACAUGGGCACAUUAUUCAUUGAACACUUACUAUGUGGCAGGAUGAAUACUGGAUAGUUCACAUGUACCAUCACUUUCUCUCCUCACGGUGACCCAUGAAAAGCUACGGCAGCCACCUUAGCCUCUUCCCUGUUUCUCUGUCAAGGCUGAAUUUUCACCACUGGAGUCUCUGCCUUGGGCUAAGGGCUUAACAUGUCACCUCUUCCAAGAGGCCUUCCCUGGCCACCCUGAAGUCUAAAGUACUUCCCAGCACCACACAAUGGCUCCGGCCUUGGGUUUCUGCUGCCAGUUAGAGGAAGAAACCUCUGCUGGCAAGCAACAGAAUAAGGUGUGUGCACCAGGUAGCUUGGGGUAUGCCUCUCUCCAGCUGCAAGUGCCAGAGUGACAAGUCCUGACAUUGAGGGAUCCCUCAGCUGAGUGGCCUUGGGCAUGUCAUCUUACCUCCAUGAACCUCAGUUUCCCCACCAGGACCAUGGGGCAGACGAAGCAGUCUGAGACCCUUCCAGUUGGCAGUAGUUGUCUCCUUCCAGGCCCCGCCUUGCACUGACCCAUUUUUCUGAGGCUUCUCCGAGCCCAGACAGUUGCUCUCUGAGGGCCCCAAUCCCAUAAAUCACAACUGAUUUCAUGGAGCAGGGCGGCUGCUGGCGCCCAGGCAUUUUGUGGUCAUUAAUCAACAUUGGCGGUACCAAGGCUGCUGCAAGGCAGCUUUGCAGGGUCUGGGUCUGGUCUUCAAGGCUGGGGUACCUGCCAGGCUGAAAUGGCCAGCCCCUAACAGAUUCCCCUUAUCCUGACAGGUCCCUACCCACCUGCCUCCCCUGCCUCUCCCACUCUGCAUUCAGCCAACAGGUUCUCCCAUUACUCCCUCUGGAGCUACUCCUCAGCUUCCCAGGCUCUCAUAGUGUGCAAACAGACAGAAGCCAUCCUGUACCCCACUUUAUCAAAGAGGAGUCUGAGAAGAGGAGUGACUUAGCCAAGAUCACACAGCAAGUGUGUGGAGGCCUUUUGAUCUGAAGCUUCUGAUCUUUGCCCCUGUCAUUGAGGAGACCCCAGCCCAGGGAGAGGACAUGGGGUGGCACACUGAGCCUCCACCCAGCCUGGAAGACCCCAGCUGCCUGCUGUGCCUGUAUUCACAGCCCUCUCUCCUGACCGAAGGGGUCUGCUCCAGCUGCCACGGGCUCCUGGGAAAUUAAACCUCUCAUCCCCGA